rnacentral:tRNA from 1 species
GCCCGGGUGCUGGAACUGGCAGACAGGCAGGAUUGAGGUUCCUGUGUCCGAAAGGACGUGGAGGUUCGAGUCCUCUCCCGGGCACCA